rnacentral:rRNA from 1 species
AACGAACGCUGGCGGCAUGCCUAACACAUGCAAGUCGAACGAGACCUUCGGGUCUAGUGGCGCACGGGCGCGUAACGCGUGGGAACCUGCCCUUAGGUUCGGAAUAACUCCCCGAAAGGGGUGCUAAUACCGGAUAAUGUCUUCGGACCAAAGAUUUAUCGCCUUUGGAUGGGCCCGCGUUGGAUUAGCUAGUUGGUAGGGUAAAAGCCUACCAAGGCGACGAUCCAUAGCUGGUCUGAGAGGAUGAUCAGCCACACUGGGACUGAGACACGGCCCAGACUCCUACGGGAGGCAGCAGUGGGGAAUAUUGGACAAUGGGCGAAAGCCUGAUCCAGCAAUGCCGCGUGAGUGAUGAAGGCCUUAGGGUUGUAAAGCUCUUUUACCCGGGAUGAUAAUGACAGUACCGGGUGAAUAAGCUCCGGCUAACUCCGUG